ACAGAACUUUCCAGAGAUGGAUUGGUGCCUUCGGGAACUGUGAGACAGGUGCUGCAUGGCUGUCGUCAGCUCGUGUUGUGAAAUGUUGGGUUAAGUCCCGCAACGAGCGCAACCCUUAUCCUUUGUUGCCAGCGGUCCGGCCGGGAACUCAAAGGAGACUGCCAGUGAUAAACUGGAGGAAGGUGGGGAUGACGUCAAGUCAUCAUGGCCCUUACGACCAGGGCUACACACGUGCUACAAUGGCGCAUACAAAGAGAAGCGACCUCGCGAGAGCAAGCGGACCUCAUAAAGUGCGUCGUAGUCCGGAUUGGAGUCUGCAACUCGACUCCAUGAAGUCGGAAUCGCUAGUAAUCGUGGAUCAGAAUGCCACGGUGAAUACGUUCCCGGGCCUUGUACACACCGCCCGUCACACCAUGGGAGUGGGUUGCAAAAGAAGUAGG
rnacentral:rRNA from 1 species